rnacentral:rRNA from 1 species
CUACUUCCUUCCGGGGGCAGCAGUAGGGAAUCUUCCGCAAUGGGCGAAAGCCUGACGGAGCAACGCCGCGUGAGUGAUGAAGGUUUUCGGAUCGUAAAGCUCUGUUGCCAGGGAAGAACGUCCGGUAGAGUAACUGCUAUCGGAGUGACGGUACCUGAGAAGAAAGCCCCGGCUAACUACGUGCCAGCAGCCGCGGUAAUACGUAGGGGGCAAGCGUUGUCCGGAAUUAUUGGGCGUAAAGCGCGCGCAGGCGGUCAUUUAAGUCUGGUGUUUAAGGCCAAGGCUCAACCUUGGUUCGCACUGGAAACUGGGUGACUUGAGUGCAGAAGAGGAGAGUGGAAUUCCACGUGUAGCGGUGAAAUGCGUAGAUAUGUGGAGGAACACCAGUGGCGAAGGCGACUCUCUGGGCUGUAACUGACGCUGAGCGCGAAGCUACCCC